rnacentral:rRNA from 1 species
GAGUUUGAUCAUGGCUCAGAUUGAACGCUGGCGGCAUGCCUUACACAUGCAAGUCGAACGGCAGCAUGAUCUAGCUUGCUAGAUUGAUGGCGAGUGGCGAACGGGUGAGUAAUACAUCGGAACGUGCCCUGUAGUGGGGGAUAACUAGUCGAAAGAUUAGCUAAUACCGCAUACGACCUGAGGGUGAAAGUGGGGGACCGCAAGGCCUCAUGCUAUAGGAGCGGCCGAUGUCUGAUUAGCUAGUUGGUGGGGUAAAGGCCCACCAAGGCGACGACCAGUAGCUGGUCUGAGAGGACGAUCAGCCACACUGGGACUGAGACACGGCCCAGACUCCUACGGGAGGCAGCAGUGGGGAAUUUUGGACAAUGGGCGAAAGCCUGAUCCAGCAAUGCCGCGUGUGUGAAGAAGGCC